rnacentral:lncRNA from 1 species
GGGAAUUAUUGUCUUUUUCUUUCAAAAAUACACAAUGCCAGACUGCUGAUAUAUAAAGCAAAAGAUUGUUUUCGGAGAAACACAAUACAUUUAAAUUUAUCAAAUAAAAGUAAGCAUUUAAUGUUGAAUGGUCUGAAUUCAAAUAUUCAUACAGAGAGUACGUCGAUUUAUAUUUAUAAAAAAAAAAUCAAAUUUCAAAAAGGGGA